UACCCACACAGUAAAACCAUUUAUUUUCUUGAGCGUAAUGAAGAUUCAUAUCUAUCCCAAACGAUGAAAAGUGCUCAUAAACAACCACUCACGGUCAUACCCACACACCGUAGACUACGAUCUCUACCCUCCCUCUGUCAAACUCUCUCAGCUUCUAUGUGGUGAUUGAGGUGUUUUACUAGUGGUUCGGAAGUGACAACUCUCAGUUUUGAGGUUUUCUUUUCUGAUAUUAUGGUUUUAUUGUCUAGCUCUCCUAGGGUAUCUCUGCAUGCUCUUAGGAUAGACAAUAAACUAUUAUAGAUGGAAGAAAAUUCUCCUCUGGUUGUGUAACUUUGUUACCUUUGUUAUUUUAACCUGUAUCGGUUACCCUACAAAAAAAAAAAAAAAAAAAAAGAA